CCUACGGGAGGCUGCAGUGGGGAAUAUUGGACAAUGGGCGAAAGCCUGAUCCAGCCAUGCCGCGUGUGUGAAGAAGGCCUUCGGGUUGUAAAGCACUUUCAGUGGGGAAGAAAGCCUUGGGGCUAAUACCCUCGAGGAAGGACAUCACCCACAGAAGAAGCACCGGCUAACUCCGUGCCAGCAGCCUCGGUAAUACGGAGGGUGCGAGCGUUAAUCGGAAUUACUGGGCGUAAAGCGCGCGUAGGCGGUCUGAUAAGCCGGUUGUGAAAGCCCCGGGCUCAACCUGGGAACGGCAUCCGGAACUGUCAGGCUAGAGUGCAGGAGAGGAAGGUAGAAUUCCCGGUGUAGCGGUGAAAUGCGUAGAGAUCGGGAGGAAUACCAGUGGCGAAGGCGGCCUUCUGGACUGACACUGACGCUGAGGUGCGAAAGCGUGGGUAGCAAACAGGAUUAGAUACCCCAGUAGUC
rnacentral:rRNA from 1 species